AUUUCUGUUUGUCUUGUACUGUUGGAGUUACCAUGUGCACACUAUUCCUCAGGUUUGACACGUGGCGGUAGCCCAGUUCAGCGUUCUUUGUUUUAAUGAGAACUUAUACGAGUCACUGUCUCAUUGUGAUUGAAGACUGAAGAAGGAGGUACGACAGAAUGCAAUUAAGAAUAACAGGAGUUUUUCACUAAUGUAGUAAAGUGCACCAGUGCUUCAAUUCAGAAUUUCUACCGAGAGCUGGUGGAAUUGAUGGAGGAUGGCAGCCUUGACAGAGUAUCAUAGGAAACAUAAGUUAGUAAUAUUAUUCAUUAAGACUCCGGAAGGAUGAGGUCUUUAUGGACCAUGGACCUAACCAGUUGUAGCCGUCAGAGGUCAAACAAGGAGUUGAAACAUAUCAAUUGGUAGAACCAUUGAUAAAAGAAAGAGAUGCUGUAUUUGUGGUGUUGCUGAAUCAAAAGUGUGUUCAAGUCUUA